UAGGGAAUAUUAGAAAUGGACGAAAGUCUGAUCUAGCGACACCGCGUGUGCGAAGAAGGCCUUCGGGUUGUAAAGCACUUUUUGGAAGGAAUAGGAAGGAAGGUACUUCCAGAAUAAGUCUCGGCUAACUACGUGCCAGCAGCCGCGGUAACACGUAGGAGGCGAACGUUAUCCGGAUUUACUGGGCGUAAAGCGCGUGUAGGUGGUUCUGUAAGUAGGGCGUGAAAGCUCCUGGCUCAACUGGGAGAGGCCGUUCUAAACUGCAGAACUAGAGGAUGGUAGAGGGAGGUGGAAUUCCGGGUGUAGCGGUGGAAUGCGCAGAUAUCCGGAGGAACACCAGUGGCGAAAGCGGCCUCCUGGACCAUUCCUGACACUCAGACGCGAAAGCUAGGGUAGCAAACGG
rnacentral:rRNA from 1 species